CAGCCGCCGCGGUAAUACGAAGGGUGCAAGCGUUACUCGGAAUUACUGGGCGUAAAGCGUGCGUAGGUGGUUGUUUAAGUCUGUUGUGAAAGCCCUGGGCUCAACCUGGGAAUUGCAGUGGAUACUGGGCAACUAGAGUGUGGUAGAGGGUAGUGGAAUUCCCGGUGUAGCAGUGAAAUGCGUAGAGAUCGGGAGGAACAUCCAUGGCGAAGGCAGCUACCUGGACCAACACUGACACUGAGGCACGAAAGCGUGGGGAGCAAACAGGAUUAGAUACCCCCGUAGUCCCUGUCUCUUAUAC
rnacentral:rRNA from 1 species